rnacentral:rRNA from 1 species
CCUACGGGUGGCUGCAGUGGGGGAUAUUGCACAAUGGGGGGAACCCUGAUGCAGCGACGCCGCGUGUGGGAAGACGGUCCUCUGGAUUGUAAACCACUGUCCCCAGGGACGAAAAUGACGGUACCUGGGGAGGAAGCUCCGGCUAACUACGUGCCAGCAGCCGCGGUAAUACGUAGGGAGCGAGCGGUGUCCGGAAUUACUGGGUGGAAAGGGAGCGUAGGCGGGGAUCCAAGUUGGGUGUCAAAACUACCGGCUCAACUGGUAGUCGCACUCAAAACUGCAGCUCUUGAGUGAAGUAGAGGCAGGCGGAAUUCCUAGUGUAGCGGUGAAAUGCGUAGAUAUUAGGAGGAACACCAGUGGCGAAGGCGGCCUGCUGGGCUUUGACUGACGCUGAGGCUCGAAAGUGUGGGGAGCAAACAGGAUUAGAUACCCCGGUAGUC